UGUUAUAAAAGGCCUAGGUUUUGAAUGGCCUAUGGAAAUGGGCAAAACCAAAGAUAGUUAUCAUGUAAGAAAAGUGUAAAUAUGGAUGCAUUUGCUUCCCCUUUCUCUAUUUUUAACUUUUUAUCUUUUAGUCUUGUUUUUGUAAGCCGCCCGGAGUCCUACAGUAUUGGGCGACAUAUAAAUUUAUUAAAUUACAAUUAAUUAAAUUGCAUACAGAAUACUUAUGGACAGGUUCCUGUUUGUGUCAGAGGCCAAUUUAAGAAGGAAGAAUCCCAGAGUCAGAAACUGGAUGUGCACUGAAGAAAGUGCUAUAUGAGUAUGCGCAGGAUCGCAUUAAUGAUAAUCUGCGACCAACCUCUCUAUACAGUAAAUAUAGUAGUAAGGUUUUCAUUGUGAUCUCCACGACAGAAAUACUGUGAAGUGCCUCUCUUUUUUGUGCAGUUUUACAAGACCGCGUUUGGAGCACAGGGCAACUGCUGUAUUUGCUGUUUUCAAAUCCUGGUAGCGCUAAUUACAAAUGGAAACUACUCCAGAUUUGGACCUCUUUAAUAUGACAGAAGUCCUAUAUGGUAUCCUGAUUUGCAGGAUGCAACUGUCAACGCUGCUUACAUCGCCAGCGUCAUUCUGCUGAGCAAAUAUGGUGAUGACGUUAUGCAGCAAAUGCCGAUCUGGAGGAAGUGAGAAGCCUUGCAUCAUCUAGAGAGGUGUUGCUCGGUUGCUUGCAAGGCGAUUUCUGAUAUUCUAAAGAGCCUUCUGGCGUGGCAGACGGAUGAAGCUCACCUGAACAGAAUAAUCAAGGCCUUGCGGAACUGGCUGACCUCGCCUGACCUCACCUUGCGUGAGAGAGCAACCCGGGUCCCUGAUCCAGCUGCUUCAAAUCUAUAAAAGGCAGAUCCCAUCCGAGGAUGAAUAGCUGCAGUGGGUGAAAUCCCAAAACAACUGGAGCCCAAUUUGGACCCAUCGGCAUUGACAAUCUCACCAUCAGUCAGUUGCCAAAGGCCGCCUUCCUUGGAAGAGCUGACAUCCAGUCUGAACAUCUAGCUGACUGUGUGA